rnacentral:rRNA from 1 species
UUGGUCUACGGGGGGCAGCAGUGGGGAAUAUUGGGCAAUGGGCGCAAGCCUGACCCAGCAACGCCGCGUGAAGGAAGAAGGCCCUCGGGUUGUAAACUUCUUUUAUCAGGGACGAAACAAAUGACGGUACCUGAUGAAUAAGCCACGGCUAACUACGUGCCAGCAGCCGCGGUAAUACGUAGGUGGCAAGCGUUAUCCGGAUUUACUGGGUGAAAAGGGCGUGUAGGCGGGCGAGCAAGUCAGACGUGAAAUUCCAGGGCCCAACCCGGGAACUGCGUUUGAACCUGUGCUUCUUGAGCGAUGGG